rnacentral:lncRNA from 13 species
CUCAUAUAGAACAAGAAGCAGAAUACACUAAUAGAAACAUACUUUAUAAUGUAGUAAUAUAGAUUUAGUAAUAUAGUAUGCUGUAAUUUAUAUUAUACUAUAAUAUAUAGUAAUAUAUAAAUGUUACUAUAUAUAGUAAUAGUGUAGAUUAUAAUUUAGAAAAUAAUAAUAGAAAAGUAGUAUAGAAAUGCCAAGUCAACAACAAUCUUAACAUCCUAAAGCUUACUGUAAUUGCUAAUUUUAAUCUUUUGAACCUUAAUUUGUAAUAUACUGUGUGAGUGUGUGUUUCUGUGUGUGUGUUUCUAUGUGGCAUGUGUGUGUGUAUUUUAUUCCUUACUCUGAAUCUUCUAUAAAUUAUGGAAAGGAAGCCUACUUUUGUUUUUGAUAGGAUCUCAUUCAGUCACUUAGGCUGGAGUGCAGUGGCAGGAUUUCAGCUCAAUGUUACCCCCGCCUCCCAAGCCGAAGCGAUUCUCCCACCUCAGCCUUCCUAGUAGCUAGGAGUACAGGUGCACACCAACUUGUCUAAUUUUUUGUAUUUUUAUUAGAGACAGGGUUUCACCAUGUUGCCCAAGCUGGUUUCGAACUCCUGGGCUCAAGCAAUCCACAUGCCUCAGCCUCCCAAAGUGCUGGUAUUAUAGGUAUGAGCCACUCGGCCUGGCCUGAAAAGGAAGCUUUCUUAUAUGAGUUGUUCUACACAUCCCCACAGGAUGAGUGGAAGGUCUGCCUGGAUGUACUGCCUUCUCUCUGUAUCAAGGCUGAAUGUGGUCUCGGCUUGUCUGCAUGCUUCAGAAACUGGUCGCCUGCAUUCAGUUCUCCAGCAGCUUCCUUCAUGGAAAUGAAGUUUGGCAGAAGAAGCACAAGCAGUGUAACAAUGACUACUGAUGUGGAUUCAGAGCCCAGUGUUGGAAUGCUCAUGCUAUUCAGGUGGAUUCUGUCUGGUGCUAGGAGGACUGUACUGUUCAGGUUUUAA